AUUGAACGCUGGCGGCAGGCCUAACACAUGCAAGUCGAACGAGUGGCGGACGGGUGAGUCAUGUCUGGGAAACUGCCUGAUGGAGGGGGAUAACUACUGGAAACGGUAGCUAAUACCGCAUACCAUCGGAUGUGCCCAGAUGGGAUUAGCUUGUAGGUGGGGUAACGGCUCACCUAGGCGACGAUCCCUAGCUGGUCUGAGAGGAUGACCAGCCACAAUGGAACUGAGACACGGUCCAGACUCCUACGGGAGGCAGCAGUGGGGAAUAUUGAAAAAUGGGCGCAAGCCUGAUGCAGCCAUGCCGCGUUUAUGAAGAAGGCCUUCGGGUUGUAAAGUACUUUCAGCGGGGAGGCGGUACUCGCAGAAGAAGCACCGGCUAACUCCGUGCCAGCAGCCGCGGUAAUUC
rnacentral:rRNA from 1 species